rnacentral:rRNA from 1 species
UACGUAGGCAGCGAGCGUUGUUCGGAGUUACUGGGCGUAAAGGGUGUGUAGGCGGUUGUUUAAGUUUGGUGUGAAAUCUCCCGGCUCAACUGGGAGGGUGCGCCGAAUACUGAAUGACUAGAGUGUGGGAGAGGUGAGUGGAAUUCCUGGUGUAGCGGUGAAAUGCGCAGAUAUCGGGAGGAACACCAGUAGCGAAGGCGGCACUCUGGGCCGGUACUGACGCUGAGGAGCGAAAGCGUGGGGAGCGAACAGG